GAUAUGGUCUGGUGAUCUUCGGAGCCAUUGACGGCUUCUCCAGAAAAGUGAUGUACUUACGGGUUGCAAACAACAACCAAGCGGCCACGGCUUUGGAGUUUUUCCUUGAGGGUGUAGAAACUCAUGGCUGUCCAUCAAGAGUUCGAGGAGACCAAGGAGUCGAAAAUGUCGACAUUGCCCGUUACAUGUUUACGGUCCGUGGUUGUGGCAGGGGAA